rnacentral:rRNA from 1 species
GCCCUUAGAGUUUGAUCCUGGCUCAAGAGGAACGCUGGCGGCGCGCCUAACACAUGCAAGUCAAACGAGCGAGAGAGAGCUUGCUUUCUCGAGCGAGUGGCGAACGGGUGAGUAACGCGUGAGGAACCUGCCUCAAAGAGGGGGACAACAGUUGGAAACGACUGCUAAUACCGCAUAAGCCCACGGGUCGGCACCGACCAGAGGGAAAAGGAGCAAUCCGCUUUGAGAUGGCCUCGCGUCCGAUUAGCUAGUUGGUGAGGUAAUGGCCCACCAAGGCAACGAUCGGUAGCCGGACUGAGAGGUUGAACGGCCACAUUGGGACUGAGACACGGCCCAGACUCCUACGGGAGGCAGCAGUGGGGAAUAUUGCACAAUGGGGGAAACCCUGAUGCAGCGACGCCGCGUGGAGGAAGAAGGUCUUCGGAUUGUAAACUCCUGUUGUUGGGGAAGAUAAUGACGGUACCCAACAAGGAAGUGACGGCUAACUACGUGCCAGCAGCCGCGGUAAAACGUAGGUCACAAGCGUUGUCCGGAACUACUGGGUGUAAAGGGAGCGCAGCCGGGAAGACAAGUUGGAAGUGAAAUCUAUGGGCUCAACCCAUAAACUGCUUUCAAAACUGUUUUUCUUGAGUAGUGCAGAGGUAGGCGGAAUUCCCGGUGUAGCGGUGGAAUGCGUAGAUAUCGGGAGGAACACCAGUGGCGAAGGCGGCCUACUGGGCACCAACUGACGCUGAGGCUCGAAAGUGUGGGUAGCAAACAGGAUUAGAUACCCUGGUAGUCCACACCGUAAACGAUGAUUACUAGGUGUUAGAGGAUUGACCCCUUCAGUGCCGCAGUUAACACAAUAAGUAAUCCACCUGGGGAGUACGACCGCAAGGUUGAAACUCAAAGGAAUUGACGGGGGCCCGCACAAGCAGUGGAGUAUGUGGUUUAAUUCGACGCAACGCGAAGAACCUUACCAAGUCUUGACAUCCCUUGACAGACAUAGAAAUAUGUAAUCUCUUCAGAGCAAGGAGACAGGUGGUGCAUGGUUGUCGUCAGCUCGUGUCGUGAGAUGUUGGGUUAAGUCCCGCAACGAGCGCAACCCUUAUGGUCAGUUAGUACGCAAGAGGACUCUGGCCAGACUGCCGUUGACAAAACGGAGGAAGGUGGGGAUGACGUCAAAUCAUCAUGCCCUUUAUGACUUGGGCUACACACGUACUACAAUGGCGUUAAACAAAGAGAAGCAAGACCGCGAGGUGGAGCAAAACUCAGAAACAACGUCCCAGUUCGGACUGCAGGCUGCAACUCGCCUGCACGAAGUCGGAAUUGCUAGUAAUCGUGGAUCAGCAUGCCACGGUGAAUACGUUCCCGGGCCGUGUACA